CCCGUCAAGACUUUAUCAAAACAGCCGUUUCCUCUCCUCAUCGAGCAGCUCUCAACCAUUUUGCUAAGUUGCCAAACAAAAUCACGCUCGGCGCGCGGUUUGUUCCUUCUCCUAUUCAAUUCAGAGUUUCAGUCUCAGCUUAGGGUUUUGAUUCGACCUCCGAUUUCGCUCUGCCUUUUCCGAUAGAGAAACAGAGAGAUCUGCUGGGCUCGGAGCUUAGCGCGAUCGGCAAUGGGAGUUCCAGCUUUCUACAGAUGGCUAGCGGAGAAGUAUCCACUCGUCGUCGUCGAUGUGGUAGAAGAAGAACCGGUUGUAAUCGGCGACGUUUCGAUUCCGGUCCACACCAGUAAGCCAAAUCCUAACGGCGAGUAUGACAAUCUGUACCUCGAUAUGAAUGGGAUUAUUCUCAACAUCAUCAAAAACCAUCAAUCUCUCAUCAAAACACCUUCUGUUAUCAAACACAUCUAGAUUAGGGUUCGAUUGCACUCAUCGAUUAAGAUUUCGAUCCCUCUUCUUGUUCAUGUCUAUCUCUCCGAAGCCAACCCAUUUCCUCUCUCAUCUCCCCUCACCUGCAAACCAAAAAGGAAGAAGCUCGAAGUUUUGAUUCUGAGCAACAUCAUCACGAAGGAUUGUGCUUGGUAAUGGCUGCGAUUGUUUUGAUUCAGCUCUGAGUUAUUGGCUUUGGUUGCAUGUCCUGAAAGGGAAAGGAAACAGGUUAUGGUUCCGGGCCUACUGCCAAGAAUUGGUUCUGGUUAUGAUGAUCUCUGCAUAUGCUGCCUAGACAUCCGACGACAUUGCACCUGCAAUUUCACUCACAGAGAAUGCAUCAAAGCACUUCAAUAAGAUGAGAUCCAAACAUAAUGAGGAUCUAUGCCUGGGAAUUGGUGUUAAACAGGGUGGAUA